GUGGUUCUAACCUGCUCUUCUAAAGGAUCUCACCUUACCUUCACCUGGCUAAAUAAAACCAAGCCUAUUGUUAUUGAUGGCGACCGGAUAACCAAGGAAGAUUCUCAGGACGGAUUAUCCAGUAAGCUGACCAUCAGAGAUGUCCUCAGGAAUGACCUUAGCCAAAUCGUCUGCAGAUCAGCCAACACACUGGAAAAACAGGACAGCGCCCCUUUCAACCUCAACUAUGGGCCCGAAGAUGUCAUCAUAACUCCCUCUUCAACUGCGCAGUACAUGCCUUCCAACUAACAUGUUCAGCCUCCUUCAGCCCCGCGGCCACCUUUACCUGGUUUCACGACCAGAAGGAUAUAAAGGCAACUGGUCCAGUCGUCACUCUGAAAGUCACUGAGGAGAAGGGAUUUGGGAAGGAAAUGGCUGACCAAAAGUCUGUUGCUGAAAAUGCCAGGACCAAAUGUUUUGUCUCUUCUAGUGUUGUCAGAUUCUCUGUGGCUAAAUCAAAUCUCAAAGUUAUACAUAUCAAAUUGUAAAAAACUUCUUCCAAUAUUCAGUCAGUUUUCUCCAUCAUAAGUCCAAUACCAUGAUACAAACUAAUUAAGGUAACUUAUUAAAACCACUGACUGUGGAGAAACAUGGCUCUCUGACUCUGAACACAAUUCUUAUUCUGGAUUACAACAGAAUUUAAGACGGUACACAUUUUUUUCAAUAAUAUCAACGACACUGUCAAAUCAACAGCUUAGUUGAGUUGAGUUCUACUAGUUUAUUCAAGAGUAUUUCACUGAAAUAUGUUUGACUUGGAGCUGAAUAAUUUUGUUAAUAACUUUUUUUUUGAAUGGAAGUUGUAAUGAAUUUAUUCAAUAUAUGUGCAGUUAUCAGUUGACCAUGAUUUAAGCUCAAAUCCCACUUUCAUUUGUUGUUCUAAAAAAAAGCCAGUAGAUUGUGUGUAGAGUGACAAUAUGAAUAUUAUCUGUUAAUAACAUAUUUACCAUCCCCACUGGGUUGGGCAAUAAAUAUAUUAAAGUUGCACAACA